rnacentral:rRNA from 1 species
CGGUGAAGGUCUUCGGAUCGUAAAGUUCUGUUAUUAGGGAAGAACAACCAGUCUAGGAAAUGAUGCUGGUAUGACGGUACCUGAUCAGAAAGCUCCGGCUAACUACGUGCCAGCAGCCGCGGUAAUACGUAGGGAGCAAGCGUUAUCCGGAAUUAUUGGGCGUAAAGCGUGCGUAGGCGGUUCGUUAAGUCAAAUCUGAAAGCCCACAGCUUAACUGUGGAGGGCGAUUUGAAACUGGCGAACUUGAGUACGGCAGAGGUUAGUGGAAUUCAAUGUGUAGCGGUGGAAUGCGUAGAUAUAUUGAGGAACGCCAGUGGCGAAGGCGGCUAACUGGACCGGAACUGACGCUGAGGCACGAAAGCGUGGGUAGCAAACAGGAUUAGAUACCCUGGUAGUCCACGCCGUAAACGAUGAGAACUAAGUGUUGGGGUUACCCAGUGCUGAAGUUAACGCAUUAAGUUCUCCGCCUGGGGAGUACGACCGCAAGGUUGAAACUCUAAGGAAUUGACGGGUCUCCGCACAAGCGGUGGAGCAUGUUGUUUAAUUCGAAGAUACGCGAAGAACCUUACCAGGUCUUGACAUCCUUCUGAUCGGUGUAGAGAUACACUUUCCCUUCGGGGCAGAAGUGACAGGUGGUGCAUGGUUGUCGUCAGCUCGUGUCGUGAGAUGUUGGGUUAAGUCCCGCAACGAGCGCAACCCU